UCUGGAAAAAAUAUAUUUUCUAAGUCACUGAGUCACCUGUCUUUCAAUGAUUUAAUGUUUUUGAUACAGACUUAAAUGUUUCAGUUGUAAAUAUUAAUAUAAACUUCACAUUUAGUCGAAUGUGGGGCCUCAGCUGAUUCUUCUGUUAUUCCCAUAGUAACAGGGAGACACAGUGACAGGACGUCUGUCACUUCACGUACUGGAGUAACUGGUGCGUGUGGUACUUUGCAAAUUCCAGUGCAUUCAACAACUUUAUUUCUGACGACUCUCCUCUGCAAUGGUCGUGUGUGUGUGUGUGCGUCGGAAAGAAGAGAGAAACGAGAUGUCAAAUGGAGGAGGAGGGAAAUGAGAGUGAGAAGUUCUCUGAUGAAGUGAGGAAGACUGGAAACAAAGUGGAGCAUCCUUCUAAUUCUGACAAGAAGAAGAAAUAAAUCAAAUAGAAGAUAUAGGAGCAGAGGCCCACACGGACAUGAGGACAAGAAGACCUGACCUCAGUGAGAUGGACGAAUCAAAAAUCAAGCCCCAAAUCUUCCUCCAGCGAAUCAGAGCAGAGGAAUGAAUCCAAACAGAGAGGAGGCAGGAAAGAGAAUAAUGAGACUCAAAAACAACACGCUCUCAUCAGUUGGAUCUGGUUGCAUGCAGCAUUUAUUUGUUCAUGUCUCAUAAGUGGAAACUUAGUCUGUGUCUGGCCUCCACCGCGACCAACGAGGCUCUCAGCGCUGUGGCUCUGGAGAGUGGUCUCCAGGACCUCGUCACAAAAAUCGAACUUCAGAACGACACCGGCACAACGGUUCAAAUGCUGAAUACACUGGUCCCAAACUGUUCAAGGAGACCAGCACCAAGUCAAACAAGAAGAUCAUCCACAACGCCAUCUCUCACUGCUGGUACUGCUGGUUCCAAUUCCAACUGCUGGUUCCAGUUCCAACUGCUGGUUCCAAUUCCACAUACUGGUUCCAGAGGCGAGCCCUAGAGGAACCAGAUCCUAGAGGAGCUUGAGAAGUGCGAGUCCAACCACCUGAUGAUCCUGUUUCCUGACGCCGGCUGUCAGUUCCGAGCGCUCUACAAGUACCACCCAGA